rnacentral:rRNA from 1 species
UACGUAGGGCGCAAGCGUUAUCCGGAAUUAUUGGGCGUAAAGAGCUCGUAGGCGGUUUGUCGCGUCUGCCGUGAAAGUCCGGGGCUCAACUCCGGAUCUGCGGUGGGUACGGGCAGACUAGAGUGAUGUAGGGGAGACUGGAAUUCCUGGUGUAGCGGUGAAAUGCGUAGAUAUUGGGAAGAACACCGGAGGCGAAGGCGGGUUGCUGGGCUGACACUGACGCUGAUGCGCGAAAGCCAGGGGAGCGAACGGG